UACGUAGGGUGCGAGCGUUAAUCGGAAUUACUGGGCGUAAAGCGUGCGCAGGCGGUUAUGCAAGACAGAGGUGAAAUCCCCGGACUCAACCUGGGAACUGCCUUUGUGACUGCAUAGCUAGAGUACGGUAGAGGGGGAUGGAAUUCCGCGUGUAGCAGUGAAAUGCGUAGAUAUGCGGAGGAACACCGAUGGCGAAGGCAAUCCCCUGGACCUGUACUGACGCUCAUGCACGAAAGCGUGGGGAGCAAACAGG
rnacentral:rRNA from 1 species